rfam:Thermoplasmatales archaeon E-plasma genomic scaffold AMDT2_EPLS00003, whole genome shotgun sequence.
CAAGUUUGGUAUGGGAAAUUACCUGUUUAUCCCAUCAGCAGGGGAUACAUGCUUCUCAGUGAUGAGGGGUAUGAAGUUAUCUUAUCUGCAAAAUCACAGGCUGCAGCGAGAGCGAACGAAACAUAACACCGUUAGCUUUGAACGGGAAGGCCGAAUCCGUGUGGUUUGGAUGAAGGCUAACACAGAGGCAAUAAACAACGGGCUUGAUGCCUCUGCUUCCCCGGUGUCGUGUCGGC